AGUGAACGCUGGCGGUAGGCCUAACACAUGCAAGUCGAACGGCAGCACAGUAAGAGCUUGCUCUUACGGGUGGCGAGUGGCGGACGGGUGAGGAAUACAGCGGAAUCUACUUUUUCGUGGGGGAUAACGUAGGGAAACUUACGCUAAUACCGCAUACGACCUACGGGUGAAAGCAGGGGAUCUUCGGACCUUGCGCGAUUGAAUGAGCCGAUGUCGGAUUAGCUAGUUGGCGGGGUAAAGGCCCACCACGGCGACGAUCCGUAGGUGGUCUGAGAGGAUGAUCAGCCACACUGGAACGUAGACACGGACCAGACUCCUACGGGAGGCAGCAGUGGGGAAUAUUGGACAAUGGGCGCAAGCCUGAUCCAGCCAUACCGCGUGGGUCAAGAAGGCCUUCGGGUUGUAAAGCCCUUUUGUUGGGAAAGAAAAGCAGCAGGUUAACACCCCGCUGUUCUGACGGUACCCAAAGAAUAAGCACCGGCUAACUUCGUG
rnacentral:rRNA from 1 species